CUGCACUGUGGCAUAUGGAGGUUCCCAGGCUAGGGGUAAAAUCAGAGCUGUGGCCACUGACCUAUGCCACAGCCACAGCAACGGGGGAUCCUUAACCCACUGAGAGAGACCAGGGACCGAACCUGCGCCCUCAUAUAUACUAGUCAGAUUCAUUUCUGCUGAGCCAGGAUGCGAACUCCUAAGCUGCUUUAUUUUACUGGUCCCAGCCCACGUACACCAUCUGUUUCCAGACCCAGGGCGUGCCCCACCCCCACCCCACCCGUAUCUCUAACCUCAAAGACACUGUCCUCCCUCUCCCCACACUGACUCAGCACCUGCCCCAGCCCAUCCCCAGUGGCCCUGUCUGACUCCACAUCCAGCCCCCACCCUGCUGAGUCACCAUCUUGGACUCGUCAGAGGACAGCUCCUCAGGGGGCCCCCAGUUCAAUCCAAUCCCAUGGCCAACCCCAACCUGGAAGGGGGUAGGACCACCAGAAGGAGGCCAGAGGGGCCAUGUUCUUGAUGCCUGUGCCUGAGCACAGCCCUCUGGAUUCUCAGGAGAGCAUCUUGCCCAGACCUGAGGACUGGCAGGAGGCAGGCCAGAAGGACAAUUUAGAUGACUCAGCAACUCAACUCAGCAGUCACUCCAGGACUGGGUCCCUCUCCCCGCAACUGGAAGGGAUGAAAAGAGCCACUUGCUGGGGACGUUUGUGGAGGCAGGAAGAUGAUGUAAGGGAAGCACCUGCACAGGACCAUGCUGGAGCCACGGGCACCACAAUCACGUCCUUCAUGAAGAAAACCCAGGCCCACGGGGCAGAGCUGGGCACCUAGCACGGCCGUGGCUGCCACUGGGCCACCACUGAGUGGAUGCUGUGCCCGGGCACUGGCCUCCCUGCCUUUGCUGGGGCCCAGCUUGAGCCAGAUUCAGAUGCUGAGGGAUUUCUGGAGAACCCCUGGGAAACUCCAGAGAAAGGGGAGGUGCCAAGAUGCCCGACAGAUGCUCCCCAGGAGGACCACAGGCCUGGAGCUGCAACUCUUGAAUCACCCAUCUUUUUCCCCAGAAUUGUUUGGCCUGAAUUUAUCUACUCAUCUGUAUUUUUAGUUCCGUAAUGCUUUUCUUUUUUUCUUUUUUUUUUGCUUUUCAGGGUCACACCUGCAGCAUAUAGAGGUUCCCAAGCUAGGGGUCUAUUCUGAGCUGUAGCCACCGGCCUACACCACAGCCACAGCAAUGCCAGAUCCAAGCUGAAUCUGUGAACUAUACCUCAGCUCAUGGCAACACCGGGUCCUUAACCCACUGAGUGAGGCCAGGGAUCGAACCCGAAACCUCAUGGAUCCUAGUCAGGAUCAUUAACUGUGUGAGCCACGAAGAGAAUUUCCAUAAUGUUUUUCUUUCAAUGGGCUCAUUAAAAAAACAAAACAAAACAAAACAAAACAAAAAACUGGACUUCCCGUCAUGGCGCAGUGGUUAACGAAUUCAACUAGGAAACACGAGGUUGAGGGUUCGAUCCCUGGCCUUGCUCAGUGGGUUAAGGAUCCCACGUUGCUGUGAGUUGUAGUGUAGGUCAAAGACUCAGCUCGGACUCCGAGUUGCUGUGGCUCUGGCGUAGGCCAGCAGCAACAGCUCCAAUUAGACCCCUUAUCUAGGAGCCUCCAUAUGCUGCGGGAAAUUAAAAAAUAAAAAUAAAUAAAUAAAUAAACUUUAGAUAAGU
rnacentral:lncRNA from 1 species